rnacentral:rRNA from 1 species
AUGAACGCCUCCUCGGCGCCGGGGCCGGAUGGACUGCCAGUCUCCUUUUUUAAAGCAUUCUGGCAGACCAUCAAACCUGAGAUCAUGGCUCUCUUUGACAAGUUUUUCUUAGGGACCAUGGAUCUUGGGCGCCUGAACUAUGGGGUAGUCACUCUUAUCCCCAAAGUUCCGGGUGCGACGGACAUCCGCCAAUUCCGACCCAUCACUGUGAUCAAUGUGAUUUUUCGGAUCCUGGCCAAAGGGUACGCCAAUAGGGUGACCCGGCUCGCCGACUCGAUCACCCACCCCAAUCAGUUGGCUUUCAUUCAGGGCCGUUUUAUCCUCGAUGGGGUGUUGGUCUUCCACGAGGUCCUUCACGAAGUCCGCUCCAAGCACCAACGGGCGGUAUUCCUGAAGCUUGAUUUCCAUAAAGCCUAUGACACUGUGCACUAG